rnacentral:tRNA from 1 species
AUUUAUAUAGUUUAACUAAAACCUUACAUUUUCACUGUAAAAAUAAGAUUUAUGUCUUUAUAGAUA